CAGCAGAUGGCGAUGAGCGUCUUUCAGGUGACUCUUCUUGCGUGACGUAUAAUGGACUGGACGGACGCUUCUUCAGGAACAACAAGGCGCCAACUCUUUCAACCACGUCGGUAGCUUGCUAGCCAACAUACGUUUUAGACCAUGUUAAUGUACAUUAGCUAAUCUCAGUGUUUUAAACAAGUUUCGCUUGACGUAUCAACUGGUUCAAUUUGCAAACGUGUUAAAGAUUGAUACUGAGCCUAGCACGAGGCUAGAUGCUAAUGCUAGCUAGCUAGCUAACAUCCCUGACCAUGAGCUCACUAAACUACUCCUCCCUUGCUAAUGAAGAGGGGGUCUGCUGUUUGGAGAAAGAAUCUUUCAGAAUGAAAAAGGAGGAAGAGGAGGCUGUUAUAGUGAAAGAAGAGAAAGAACCGUUUAGAGAGGAAGAUGAUGCUAUCUCAAUAAAGGUGAAGGAGGAAGACGUUUUGGGAGUGAAAGAGGAAGAGACAGAAUAUCAGAUUACCACCAGAGAGACACAUGACUAUCGUGGAUCCUCUGGGGAGCCUCAACAACAUCCUGAUGCUGACGAGGACAACACUAGCCCUUCCUCCCUCCCGGAGUCACCUUGUCGUGGCUCUCCCGGUAGCACCUUACUGCUGGGUAUGAAGAGGUCUGUGCUGCUGGUGGACUGCAGGAAAACAACGGGGAUGAGUGGAACUGUGGGAGGAGGAGAAGAGAGGAACGGAUCAGAUUUGACUCAAAGUAAGUGCUGUAGUUCAGUUUGAACAAAUAAAUAGAUCUGUCCACUGGUAUCUGUUACCAGGACAACCAGCAGAGUUCU
rnacentral:lncRNA from 1 species